AAAUCCUCUACACCAAAGAUAAAAGGUCAGCUCUUUGUACAGCAAGGGUUGGGUGAACCUGUAUCCUCUACCCAUAUCAUAUUACAGGUAGGAUAACCUUUAGCAACAUCCAGUUUUCCCAUAAGCUAAUCAGAAGUACAUACUUAGCCCUCCAAACAGUGUUUCACUAGUAACUCAGGUAAGUACCAGAAUAACUUUAUUAAAACAUUAACAGUGUAGAUAAAUAUUCAUCUAUCAGUUCAAAUAAACAAAACUUUUGAUUAGUUUCCA
rnacentral:lncRNA from 1 species